rnacentral:lncRNA from 1 species
CUCAGGGUUUGUCUUGGAUCUGGUUCCCCAGAAGCCAUCCCUGAGACAGGAAUUCCUGGUCCCAGGAGAAGGGAGGGCAGCCAACAGGGCACCUGAUCACACAGGGUGGAGCACAGGGAAUGGCACUCGCCUGGCAGGGAAUCUGGGAGUGGCGGAGCCUGGGCAGAGGUGCUCUGCCACGGGGAGUGGGCAGAGGCGGGGCUGCUCAGGCGACACCCAUUCACCGGAAGCCUCGGGGGUACCAGUGGGUGCUGGCAGCCAGAGAAAGCCCUCGGAGCAGAAAAGGCAGUAGAUACGCAUGGGAAGGGCCACAGGAUGGGCCGGGCACCCGUGACAUCCCCUCCUCAUGCUCCCUCAGAGCAGGACCACAGCUGCACCUCCAAGUAAACCCCCCCAUCUCCUCACCGUGUUCCUUCCUGAAGCCUGGCCUGCAGAAAAGCCCCCCGGAGGAGGAGGCUUCCGGUCAGGAUGGCCGUGGUUCUGUCCCAGCUCCAUGGCUCGUGAACACCUCUGUGCCUGGGGUCCCACGUGCAAAAUGAGGAUGACACACCGAGGACGUGAAAGGCUGUCCACACCCUCUCCCAGCUGUGGCUGGAGCCCCCACACACCGUGCUUCCCGUGACACCUGGGAAAAGUAAUUAGGGCGCCUCUCCCAAGGCCACCACUGUGCGCCACCUUGGUUUCAUUCCCCACUGACAUGCUCAGCACCACCACGGGGUCUGACAUAGGGCACAUGCUCAGUUAAAUGCACAUCGCAUCUGCUUACACGUACACACACACGCUUGAACGCUGCAUGUCACAGACCUAGAGCAGGCGCUCUGAAGUCACAUGCCUCUAGGAGCGGGCUGGGAAGGAAGAGAGCCACACGCGAGACAACAGGGAGUGGUGGGAGUGUGGCAAACUGCAGGGCACACUCCUCAUCGAGCAGGUAGCAGCUAGACCUUUUCAGGUAGAAAUUUGGACCCAGAGUUGCCAGGUGCCAGAUCUCUCAGCUUUUUUCCAAAGGAGCUGUUAAGUGAAAGUUUUUGAGCCUCUGUUAUCAGGCAAGCUUUGAGAUAAGGGGUUUUCUCUUAUCUUCUUGUAUUGUAUCUCCAUUGAUGCAAAGCCAGAGCCUGCCAUAUGAAUUGCACAAGUAGGUUUGGCCACCUAGAGGCAGGUGGAGGAAUGAGGUCCAUACACCAAGGUUCUCUUCAUCCAAACCACUGGUUCUCUUUGUGAAUAGGCAUGUGUCGCCCAAGCCCCUCUCCCCAUCUGCUCACACCAUCAGCUGGCCAGUGGGACUCAGUGGUCCCAGAGGCUGUGUCCUGCCGGGACUAAGCUCUGUGUGUUAUUAUGUGUGUGUUCCUGGGGUUGCUAGGAAGCUAGCAAAUGUGACUUCACUGGAGCCACACAGGAGAGAGGCUUGUGGGAGCUUGUUCUGCCAGAGGAUGAUGAAAUCAAGAUAGUUGAGUCACUCACGGUGAACUCAGGUGGCUUCUGUUCCGUCCAAGAGGGAGACACACUCGUUGUUGAGACAGCUGUCCCUCCCUUUCUCCACCUGCCUUAAGAAGGAAACCGAUGCUUCAGAGAUGGGACCUGGGACCGAGCACCACUGAUGGGAGUGGGAAGGGCUUUACUUCUUUAGGGAGGAAUUUGGCAAUAGCUGAUAAAAUGUUAAGUGUGUAUUCUUUUCAACCUUCAAGUUUAUGGCUGGGAAUUUAUCUUUUACAUCUCUCUGGACAUGUAAUGAAGAUGUGAACUUAAAGAUAUUGCCUCUACCCAGAGGCAGUGGUUAAAUCCAUAGACUCUGGUGCCAGACCAAGUCGUUUGAAUCUUAGCUGUACCACUGACCAGUUGAGUAUUCUUGGACAAAUUGCGUCCCUUCCCUGUGCCUCAGUCUACUCAUCUGAAAAAAAACAGGGCUAUUAAAAUACCCCAUUGUGGGUUCAGGAGUUCCCAUUGUGGCUCAGUGGGUUAAGAACCCAAUGUCAUGCCCAUGAGGAUGUGGGUUCGAUCCCUGGCCUCUCUCAGUGGGUUGAGGAUCCAGUGUUGCUGUGGCUUAGGUGUAGACAAGCAGCUGUACUCUGAUUGGACCCCCAGCCUGGGAACUUCCAUAUGCCGCAGGUGCGGUUGUAACAAGAUAAAAAGAAAAAUACCUAUUUCAGGAGUUCCCAUCAUGGCACAGCGGAAAUGAAUCUGACAAGUAUCCAUGAGGACGCAGGUUUGAUCCCUGGCCUCACUCAGUGGAUUAAGGAUCCAGUGUUGCCAUGGCCUGUGGUGUAGGUCGCAGACACGGCUCAGAUCUGACAUGGCUGUGGCUGUGGUGUAGGCUGGCAGCUGCAGCCCUGAUUCGACACUCCGCCUGGGAACCUCUAUAUGCCGCCAGUGCAGCCUUAAAAAGACAAAAAAGGGAGUUCCCGUCGUGGCGCAGUGGUUAACGAAUCUGACUAGCAACCAUGAGGUUGCGGGUUCGGUCCCUGCCCUUGCUCAGUGGGUUAACGAUCCGGCGUUGCCGUGAGCUGUGGUGUAGGUUGCAGACGCGGCUCGGAUCCCGCGUUGCUGUGGCUCUGGCGUAGGCCGGUGGCUACAGCUCCGAUUCAACCCCUAGCCUGGGAACCUCCAUAUGCCGUGGAAGCGGCCCAAGAAAUAGCCACAACAACAACAA